UACGGGGGGAGCAAGCGUUGUUCGGAUUUACUGGGCGUAAAGGGCGCGUAGGCGGUCAGCACAAGUCAGUUGUGAAAUCUCCGGGCUUAACUCGGAAAGGUCAACUGAUACUGUGCGACUAGAGUGCGGAAGGGGCAACUGGAAUUCUCGGUGUAGCGGUGAAAUGCGUAGAUAUCAGGAGGAACACCGGUGGCGAAGGCGGGUCUCUGGGCCGACACUGACGCUGAGGAGCGAAAGCGUGGGGAGCGAACAGG
rnacentral:rRNA from 1 species